UUACUCUCCGGGAUGCAACGUUCAGAGAGGAUCCAUGUCAACACCGACACGUGCACUGAGCUUUAAAGGGGCGCGAGGACGUCACGUGUGACCGCUCCUCAAAGUAAAGUUGAUAGUUGGUGCUAAACUUGCUAACAUGCUAACCUCUUCACCAGCUGUUCGCUACCCCCCCGGUGCUGAACGUGCUUACAUCUCCACUAGUUGUUAGCUACAGGGCGGUGCUAACAUGCUAACAUCUUAACUGGACACAACUCAAGCUAGCGUUAGCCGGAUAGCUCCAUAGCUAGCAGGCUUUGUGGAUUCAUCCUGACGCUGACUUGUUCGCUUUCAGGACCCUGAAGCAGCUAAAAAGAUGGUAGCCGACCCCUCUCACCCCGGACAAAACCUGUUUGUGCCCCUUCCGUCUGGCAGGAGGCUGAGGUCCAUCAAGACUAAGACCUCCCACCACACCAACAGUUUCUUCCCGU
ensembl:lncRNA